rnacentral:rRNA from 1 species
UACAGAGGUCUCAAGCGUUGUUCGGAUUCAUUGGGCGUAAAGGGUGCGUAGGCGGCGCGGUAAGUCGGGUGUGAAAUCUCGGAGCUUAACUCCGAAACUGCAUUCGAUACUGCCGUGCUUGAGGACUGGAGAGGAGACUGGAAUUUACGGUGUAGCGGUGAAAUGCGCAGAUAUCAGGAGGGACACCAAUGGCGAAGGCAGCUCGCUGGGACGGUACUGACGCUGAGACGCGAAAGCGUGGGGAGCAAACAGG